GUCAAUACUUUUUUUAGAAAAUA
rnacentral:tRNA from 1 species